UAUACAGGGCAAUGAUGUUUCCUAUAAACACUCUAUAUAGUUUCUAUAAAAUAAUUUCUAGAUCAGGCAGUCCCAAAAUUUUCAUAGAAUGGACCACAUUUCAAUCACAUAACAUCCAUACUGCAACCACAGGAGUUACUUACAUUAAAAAGUAACAUUAGAAAAAAACUGAAUGUCUUUAAUUUCUUUUAAUGCAGUUUAGCAGCUGGAAACAAGGAGAAUAUGGAAGCAAGGAAACUAUGUGAACAGCCAUCUCUCCAUGGACUACAAGCAAGUGCUCCAUGGGUCAUUAGUAGUGCAGAGGCUACAGUGUGGGUAUCUCGGCAUUAGAUCAUUAAUAUCAUUAGAAGGCCUGUAGUCUACUAAUUGAUGCUCCAUUUGAACUAACAUCACCAUCUGCUCAUGAGUUAGUCAAACCUCUUAUGAAGUUUAUCCUCAAGAAGAAACUACUAGUGCUCUAUUUUUCUUUGGGUGUAAUGAAGGCACAAUCCUGCACUCUGAAAUGAACCCUGGAUGAACAGCUGAACUUUGGAUGAUUAUCUGAACUGCAAAACCUUUUAAAGUUCUCCAGUCUCUGUUUUAACCACUGAGUGAACUUUUAUGUAUAAACUUUUCCUACUGACUGGCUUUUCCAACGAGACAGUGAAACUGGAUGGAAUCCUUAAGAGUUAUUGAAUAAACACUGUAUUUCUAAA